UAUUCUAAAGAAUUGCUUUGUUCAAAAACCCAGUGGCUCCCUUAGGCCAACACUCAAAACUUCAGUGCAGAAGAAACAUCUGAAAUGGAGUGCCUGUAAACUGAAAAGAUCACGUUGUUCGAGUGCGAAUCCAUAAGGAAAGCAAGGCUGAGGAUGAGGAUGUCGCUGGUUAGGCCAGCAUUUAUUCCCCAUUCCUAAUUGCCAACCACAUUGUCGUGGCCUUGGAGUCACAGACCAGGUAUAGCGUCUCAAAAAUCGACAAACUCGAGAUUGAGGCUGUGCCAGAUUUUGAUCUUUGUGGAUUCGGAGUUGGGUGUUCUGGUCAAGCUGACGUGAAAGGUCGUAAGAGCAUAGGAAAGGACUGACGCACAAACAGCAAAGAGGAUAACUUGCCCGGUACCACACAGUGCACCUAGCCGUAUGGUCCAGUUGAGUCUUUU